ensembl:lncRNA
CGAUUUAAAUGCAAACCAAUAAUCCUUUUCUGCCGCUAAGUCUACUUUACUUUACCUUUCUCGCUGUCGUUGAGGGGCUAAUGCAUCUUACUGUUGUUUGUUUAAGCAUGAGUUAUUGAAAUGUACAUCCCCUCUGACUACAGCGUGGUGCACAAUGCAGUUGUUUAAAGCUGUAUACUCACAUGCUGUCUGUAGAGUGAGACUUCCACAAAGGCAAACCUGAGGACACCUAAAAGGAUGCUGUUUUGAAGGAAGCAUCGACCUUGUCGCCACCUUGACGGGUCACAGGCAGGAGGAGGCGGCGAGGUCCUGCAGAGCAUUAUCCAGUUCUCACUGACAUAAAUUAUGAUAAAUUAUCAGUCAAUAAUUCAACAUGUGUGUCAGAUAGAGUAUAUUUACAAGACCACCUGGCGUUGCCUGAAUAGAGGUUACACUAUAGGGAGUAAAUAAAUAAUACAGAUUUUUUUUUUACGCUGUGAUUUAAUACCAUUAAAUAUUCAGCUAUUUAGAUGAUCAAAUUUCCUGCUAAAUUACAGCUUCCCUGUUGAUAGGACUGGGAGGAGAGGUGGCCAACGGGCGCUGCGGUGGGAACCCAGCCAGAAAGGGGAACAACACAGUCGCACACACACACACAUCAGACACACGUAUGCAUGUCGGUGUGAGCUAGAAUGGCACACACACACACACACACACACACACGCGCACACCAGCAGAGGCACACAAAAGCACGUAAACACACACCGCCCCAGGUGGCAGAUGCUGGCAUACAGCGCCUUACCUGAUGAUGCUGUAUGCAUCAACGAGCACAUCCAAAAUAAUGCAAUGUUUACCCA